GUGGCUCGUAUGAUGGAUAAACGAAAAUUUAACUGUCUCUGUUAACUAUACAAAAAUUAGCUUCUAGGUGAAGAGACCUAGAUAUUAUUAAAAGACAAGAAGACCCUGUAGAGCUUAAUUUAAACAUCUCCUUAAACAAAAUUUUUCUAGGUAUUACAAUUUAGUUGGGGCGACUAAGGAACAACAAAAAAAUCCUAUAUCCUUUAAAGGCCCCCUUGCCUUUUCUAUGACCCAAUUUUUGAUCACCGAUAAAAGCUACCUCAGGGCUAACAGACUAAUUUUCUUCAAGAGCCCUGAUCGACAAGAAAGAUUGGCACCUCGAUGUUGGCUUAGGAA
rnacentral:rRNA from 1 species